AACCCUAGACACAGGCUAGCUAAUCUGGUGGCGGCCUAGCCUCCGAAUCCGUAGAGGGUGCGUCCCUGGCGCUUGAGCGCGUAGACGACGUCCAUGGCGGUGACGGUCUUGCGGCGGGCGUGCUCGGUGUAGGUGACGGCGUCACGGAUGACGUUCUCGAGGAAGAUCUUGAGCACGCCGCGGGUCUCCUCGUAGAUGAGACCCGAGAUGCGCUUCACGCCGCCCCGCCGCG
rnacentral:lncRNA from 1 species